UCAAGUGAAGAAGCGCAUACGGUGGAUGCCUUGGCAGUCAGAGGCGAUGAAAGACGUGGUAGCCUGCGAAAAGCUUCGGGGAGUCGGCAAACAGACUUUGAUCCGGAGAUCUCUGAAUGGGGGAACCCACCUAGGAUAACCUAGGUAUCUUGUACUGAAUCCAUAGGUGCAAGAGGCGAACCAGGGGAACUGAAACAUCUAAGUACCCUGAGGAAAAGAAAUCAACCGAGAUUCCCUUAGUAGUGGCGAGCGAACGGGGAUUAGCCCUUAAGCUUCAUUGAUUUUAGCGGAACGCUCUGGAAAGUGCGGCCAUAGUGGGUGAUAGCCCCGUACGCGAAAGGAUCUUUGAAGUGAAAUCGAGUAGGACGGAGCACGAGAAACUUUGUCUGAACAUGGGGGGACCAUCCUCCAAGGCUAAAUACUACUGACUGACCGAUAGUGAACCAGUACCGUGAGGGAAAGGCGAAAAGAACCCCGGAGAGGGGAGUGAAAUAGAACCUGAAACCGUAUGCGUACAAGCAGUGGGAGCCUACUUGUUAGGUGACUGCGUACCUUUUGUAUAAUGGGUCAGCGACUUAUAUUCAGUGGCAAGCUUAACCGUAUAGGGUAGGCGUAGCGAAAGCGAGUCUUAAUAGGGCGUUUAGUCGCUGGGUAUAGACCCGAAACCGGGCGAUCUAUCCAUGAGCAGGUUGAAGGUUAGGUAACACUGACUGGAGGACCGAACCCACUCCCGUUGAAAAGGUAGGGGAUGACUUGUGGAUCGGAGUGAAAGGCUAAUCAAGCUCGGAGAUAGCUGGUUCUCCUCGAAAGCUAUUUAGGUAGCGCCUCAUGUAUCACUCUGGGGGGUAGAGCACUGUUUCGGCUAGGGGGUCAUCCCGACUUACCAAACCGAUGCAAACUCCGAAUACCCAGAAGUGCCGAGCAUGGGAGACACACGGCGGGUGCUAACGUCCGUCGUGAAAAGGGAAACAACCCAGACCGCCAGCUAAGGUCCCAAAGUUGUGGUUAAGUGGUAAACGAUGUGGGAAGGCUUAGACAGCUAGGAGGUUGGCUUAGAAGCAGCCANNNNNNNNNNNNNNNNNNNNNNNNNNNNNNNNNNNNAAGUGACGCGGUAGAGGAGCGUUCUGUAAGCCUGUGAAGGUGAGUUGAGAAGCUUGCUGGAGGUAUCAGAAGUGCGAAUGCUGACAUGAGUAACGACAAUGGGUGUGAAAAACACCCACGCCGAAAGACCAAGGGUUCCUGCGCAACGUUAAUCGACGCAGGGUUAGUCGGUUCCUAAGGCGAGGCUGAAAAGCGUAGUCGAUGGGAAACAGGUUAAUAUUCCUGUACUUCUGGUUACUGCGAUGGAGGGACGGAGAAGGCUAGGCCAGCUUGGCGUUGGUUGUCCAAGUUUAAGGUGGUAGGCUGAAAUCUUAGGUAAAUCCGGGGUUUCAAGGCCGAGAGCUGAUGACGAGUCGUCUUUUAGAUGACGAAGUGGUUGAUGCCAUGCUUCCAAGAAAAGCUUCUAAGCUUCAGGUAACCAGGAACCGUACCCCAAACCGACACAGGUGGUCGGGUAGAGAAUACCAAGGCGCUUGAGAGAACUCGGGUGAAGGAACUAGGCAAAAUGGCACCGUAACUUCGGGAGAAGGUGCGCCGGCUAGGGUGAAGGAUUUACUCCGUAAGCUCUGGCUGGUCGAAGAUACCAGGCCGCUGCGACUGUUUAUUAAAAACACAGCACUCUGCAAACACGAAAGUGGACGUAUAGGGUGUGACGCCUGCCCGGUGCCGGAAGGUUAAUUGAUGGGGUUAGCGCAAGCGAAGCUCUUGAUCGAAGCCCCGGUAAACGGCGGCCGUAACUAUAACGGUCCUAAGGUAGCGAAAUUCCUUGUCGGGUAAGUUCCGACCUGCACGAAUGGCGUAACGAUGGCGGCGCUGUCUCCACCCGAGACUCAGUGAAAUUGAAAUCGCUGUGAAGAUGCAGUGUAUCCGCGGCUAGACGGAAAGACCCCGUGAACCUUUACUGUAGCUUUGCACUGGACUUUGAGCCUGCUUGUGUAGGAUAGGUGGGAGGCUUUGAAGCGUGGACGCCAGUUCGCGUGGAGCCAUCCUUGAAAUACCACCCUGGCAUGCUUGAGGUUCUAACUCUGGUCCGUGAUCCGGAUCGAGGACAGUGUAUGGUGGGCAGUUUGACUGGGGCGGUCUCCUCCUAAAGAGUAACGGAGGAGUACGAAGGUGCGCUCAGACCGGUCGGAAAUCGGUCGCAGAGUAUAAAGGCAAAAGCGCGCUUGACUGCGAGACAGACACGUCGAGCAGGUACGAAAGUAGGUCUUAGUGAUCCGGUGGUUCUGUAUGGAAGGGCCAUCGCUCAACGGAUAAAAGGUACUCCGGGGAUAACAGGCUGAUACCGCCCAAGAGUUCAUAUCGACGGCGGUGUUUGGCACCUCGAUGUCGGCUCAUCACAUCCUGGGGCUGAAGCCGGUCCCAAGGGUAUGGCUGUUCGCCAUUUAAAGUGGUACGCGAGCUGGGUUUAGAACGUCGUGAGACAGUUCGGUCCCUAUCUGCCGUGGACGUUUGAGAUUUGAGAGGGGCUGCUCCUAGUACGAGAGGACCGGAGUGGACGAACCUCUGGUGUUCCGGUUGUCACGCCAGUGGCAUUGCCGGGUAGCUAUGUUCGGAAAAGAUAACCGCUGAAAGCAUCUAAGCGGGAAACUUGCCUCAAGAUGAGAUCUCACUGGGAACUUGAUUCCCCUGAAGGGCCGUCGAAGACUACGACGUUGAUAGGCUGGGUGUGUAAGCGUUGUGAGGCGUUGAGCUAACCAGUACUAAUUGCCCGUGAGGCUUGACCAU
rnacentral:rRNA from 1 species